rnacentral:rRNA from 1 species
AGAACGAACGCUGGCGGCAUGCCUAACACAUGCAAGUCGAACGCGUGUAGCGAUACACGAGUGGCGGACGGGUGAGUAACGCGUGGGAACCUGCCCUGGAGUGUGGGAUAACCGAGGGAAACUUCGGCUAAUACCGCAUACGACCUGAGGGUGAAAGAUUUAUCGCUCUAGGAGGGGCCCGCGUCGGAUUAGCUAGUUGGUGGGGUAAAGGCCUACCAAGGCAGUGAUCCGUAGCUGGUCUGAGAGGAUGAUCAGCCACACUGGGACUGAGACACGGCCCAGACUCCUACGGGAGGCAGCAGUGGGGAAUAUUGGACAAUGGGGGCAACCCUGAUCCAGCAAUGCCGCGUGAGUGAUGAAGGCCUUAGGGUUGUAAAAGCUCUUUCGCGCGCGACGAAUGAUGACGGUAGCGCGAGAAGAAGCCCCGGCUAACUUCGUGCCAGCAGCCGC